AUGUUGCUAGAUGGACUUUUCCAGAAAGCUCAUAAAGUAUUUCAGGGUCCCAAAAAUAAAUCCUUAAAAAUGUUCAAUAUUUUGGUUGGGACCAGAACCCUUACCAAAAAUUAUCAAACAUUUAAGAAGAGCCUUUUUGGAGCAAUGAAUGAGAUUUCUAGGGUUUUUGCCCCUCUUUUAUUUAGGGUUUUGAGGUCGGUCUCCAUUGUCUAUACCAUGAUUGGGGAUGUCUGCCUGUACAUUGUCAGCAAGGAUGAAUAUGAUGAGCUUGCUCUGUCGGAGGUGAUCUUUGCUGUUAUGUCGGCGGUGAAGGAUGUGUGCGCAAAACCACCCACCGAGCGCCUCUUCCUUGACAAGUACGGGAGGAUCUGCCCAUGCCUCGAUGAGAUCAUUUGGCAGGUGCCGCCGGAUAACACGGAGAAGGAUAAGGUUCAGAGGCUGAUCAGGCUCAAGCCUCCCGUGGAGCCAUGGUUUUCCCAAUUGAUGGAUCUUUUCUGUGUAUGUAUCGCUUUGCUAGAGCGUGUAUCUAUCUCUGAACUGAUUGAUUCGUGGCUGAAAGAAAAACAAGCCUAUGCUUGCACCAACAUUAUUAGAAUGAGGUGUGGGGAUAUAUCAUUUUUUUAA
rnacentral:rRNA from 1 species